UAAGGUUCGAUUCGAGCGUAGCGAGAAAGCGUUGCCGCAGGCAACGACCCGAAGGGCGAGGCGCAACGCGCCGAGUAAUCCUUCCCCCACCACCA
rnacentral:sRNA from 1 species